UACAGAGGUCUCGAGCGUUAGGCGGAAUCACUGGGCUUAAAGCGUGUGUAGGUGGAUCGUUAAGUACCUUGUGAAAUCCCACGGCUUAACCGUGGAACUGCUUGGUAUACUGGCGGUCUUGAGCCACUUAGGGGCUACCGGAACAAAUGGUGGGGCGGUGAAAUGCGUAGAUAUCAUUUGGAACGCCAAUGGUGAAAACAGGUAGCUGGGAGUGUGCUGACACUGAGACACGAAAGCCAGGGGAGCAAACGGG
rnacentral:rRNA from 1 species